rnacentral:rRNA from 1 species
AGAACGAACGCUGGCGGCAUGCCUAACACAUGCAAGUCGAACGCUCUUGAGGCUUCGGUUUCAAGGGAGUGGCGCACGGGUGAGUAGCGCGUGGGAACCUGCCCUGUUGUGGGGGAUAACCGAGGGAAACUUCGGCUAAUACCGCAUGCGCCCGGGGAAACCCGGGGAAAGAUUUAUCGCAGCAGGAGGGGCCCGCGUCGGAUUAGGUAGUUGGUAGGGUAACGGCCUACCAAGCCUUUGAUCCGUAGCUGGUCUGAGAGGAUGAUCAGCCACACUGGGACUGAGACACGGCCCAGACUCCUACGGGAGGCAGCAGUGGGGAAUAUUGGACAAUGGGCGCAAGCCUGAUCCAGCAAUGCCGCGUGAGUGAUGAAGGCCUUAGGGUUGUAAAGCUCUUUCGCCCGCGACGAUGAUGGCGGUAGCGGGAGAAGAAGCCCCGGCUAACUUCGUGCCAGCAGCCGC